AUUUGCAAACAAUUAAGUAACAAGGUUGCAGUAUUAACAAGCCGACGAUAUCAGAAUGUAUUCGCACUGCUAGUUGUUCCCAGUUGUUGUGACAAGUGUGAAAAAUGUUGUUAUCGCCUUGUUACAACCAGAUGAUCUUGAUGCGCGGAAAAGUACUGGCACUAGUUGUCAAAUAGAAAUCCAUUUUGUGAUUAAAACAACUGAAUAUCUCCCGUAAUAUACUCUAUUUCGAUUCCAUAUUUUUGUCAGAGCUAUAGUUCUCAUAACCAAACAUAAUUACAAAAUUUCAACUAGUUUCAUAAAGAAUAACGAAAGAUAUAAUUGACUGAAUACAUCAAAAUGGAUUUCUAUUCGGACAACCCUUUCUGAGCGCUGAUUGGCUAAAAUACGAACACGAGAUCACCUGGAAGGUUGAUGACGAUAACAGACUUGCCACAAGUUGUUUUAAGAAGACUAUAAUACAGCCCGUUCGUAACAAGUUGCUACGCGGCUAAGAGCUUGUUGUCAUCACUUGCUAACAACUUGUUUAAUACGUGCAGACGAUAUCAGACUUGUUGGAACAACUUGUUGCGAGUCUGUUGGCCUCACCAACCUUGUUACAGGAUGAUAACAACUUGUUUCAGACUUGUCAAUAACCAAAACUUGUCAAGGAAAAUUUAUCUAAAUCAGG